UCUCAAAGGAAACCUCAUCCCUCUGAGCCUGGGCUGUCAUUCAUUUGGUUCAUUCUGAAGGGACCCUGUCAUGCCAGUCUCCCCAGGCUCUCCGUCUACCAGGAACCCCGGAAGACCCCUGGCCCAGGCCAUUCUGCUCCAGGGCAAUGAUAGAGCCCUAACCUCUAAUGAGAGGUCAUCAGAGUGGAUGUGGGAGGAUCGUGCAGAUACCCUGCAACUUUCUCUCCAGGUGAUACGUGGAUAUUUCUCCUUAAAUUAAUUGGACUGGUUAGCCUCAGUGCCAGCCUAGUAGGAACCAUCGCCUGCCCGGAUUCCUGUUCUCCCCCAGACCACUGGGCAAAUCCUUCUCAGUUGGUAGGGCUUUAAUGGCUUGAAGAGGAUAGGAAAUAUGUUAUUGAUGACUUUUUAUUAACAUCCAAUUUUAUUAACAUCCAUUACAACCCAUGGCCUUCGUUGUGCAUGCACACACACACACACACAUACACACACAGAGCAAAGGCGAGGGUUGGAAGCCAGUUGAUGCUAGAGGAAUGCUUUAACACCCCUAUCAAUACACAACCCAAGUCGGCUCCAGCUAAUUUUUUCAAGAUGUCCACAGUGUCACCCCAUGCUCAGGAUAUGUAUUGGUGUGUGUGCUUUUGUACUCACUCAUAUAGCAAACUUUGAGCUAUGGCCAGGUACUAGGACAAUAUUAGUAAACAAAAUAGACAAACACAAAAUCCUCAGAGCUUCAGGUUCUCAUCUGUAGCAUGGACGACUUCCCUACUCCUUCCCCUCAAAUCAGAGGGUAGAGACCCUGGGUAUGGAUUUCAAGGUCGCUGUCAUUAGUAGGGAGCUAACACUCACUAUGUAACACUCACUACCACUGGAGUGUGUGGGGGUGGGGGGGAGUCUGGGAUAGAAAAGUAAAUAAACAAGUAACAUAAACAUGAUGCUUGAGGGUAAUAUGUGCUAUGGAGAAAACCAAAGCAAAAAAGACGGUGCCCCAAAAUGAGUGGAGGAUUUUAAAUGGGGUGGUCAGGGAAUGUCUCAAUGAAAAGGUAACAUUUAAAUAAAGACCAAAAGGAGAUGAGAGAGUGAGCUAUGAAGCUAUUUGGUAGAAGAGGGUUCCAGGCAGAGGAAAUGGCAAAUUCAAAAUACCGAGGCAUGGUCAGAGAGGUUGUCCUGGUGGGAACAAGGGGAGAGGGGAUGGGAAGAGGCAGGAGGUGUUGGGCUCUAUUAUUAAUAAAAUAUGGUCAGGAGUCCCCCAGUCCCCUGUUCCAACCCAUAUAGUUAAUUUCAUCCCUUUUCUUAAAGUUCUGAAACUAAUACCUGUCUUAUAAACAAGC
rnacentral:lncRNA from 1 species